UGGGGAAUAUUGCACAAUGGGCGCAAGCCUGAUGCAGCCAUGCCGCGUGUAUGAAGAAGGCCUUCGGGUUGUAAAGUACUUUCAGCGGGGAGGAAGGGAGUAAAGUUAAUACCUUUGCUCAUUGACGUUAUCCGCAGAAGAAGCACCGGCUAACUCCGUGCCAGCAGCCGCGGUAAUACGGAGGGUGCGAGCGUUAAUCGGAAUUACUGGGCGUAAAGCGCACGCAGGCGGUUGAUUGAGUCAGAUGUGAAAUCCCCGGGCUUAACCCGGGAAUUGCAUCUGAUACUGGUCAGCUAGAGUCUUGUAGAGGGGGGUAGAAUUCCAUGUGUAGCGGUGAAAUGCGUAGAGAUGUGGAGGAAUACCGGUGGCGAAGGCGGCCCCCUGGACAAAGACUGACGCUCAGGUGCGAAAGCGUGGGGAGCAAACAGG
rnacentral:rRNA from 1 species